rnacentral:snoRNA from 1 species
GCCCCGUCCCCUAUUUGGGUCUGAAAAGCAGUAAUGCUUUAAUGAGGACUCACAGCCGGACGGGGUACAUGA